AUGCUCAAGAGGCUUGGCCAAGAUGAAGCAUCAUCAGUUGGCUUUCUGCUCACUGGCCAUCUGACUUCAUACUGCUGGUGUUCUGUUGAGGGAAGGAGAGAAAACAUUCACUUGGGGAGCAUCUCACUUGGAGCAAAGGCAACAACUAAUUACAACACAUGUAGAUACCUAAGAGAGGAAAUACGAUGUGGAAAAUGUGGCUUUCUUCAAAGACACCAGGAAGAUUAGUGUCAUGUCUGAAGCACCCAUUUGUGUCAAUGAAACUGCAGCAAUACACGAGUGAGUCACACAAAAGGGGCACCUUGAAGAUGAACAGCAAGGAAGCACGAGGUUAUAUUGUAAUUUGCCAGAAAAGAGCAUUUCACUAAUCAGUACCCAUAUCAUACAUUUGUAAGUAUGACUGCCUGACAGGUGAAA
rnacentral:lncRNA from 1 species